rnacentral:tRNA from 1 species
GCCGCGGUGGCGGAAUUGGCAGACGCGCACGAUUCAGGGUCGUGUGGGGCUAUCCCCGUGGAGGUUCAAAUCCUCUCCGCGGCA